UACGUAGGGUGCGAGCGUUGUCCGGAAUUAUUGGGCGUAAAGAGCUCGUAGGCGGUGUGUCACGUCGGCCGUGAAAACCUGCAGCUUAACUGUGGGCGUGCGGUCGAUACGGGCAUCACUGGAGUUCGGCAGGGGAGACUGGAAUUCCUGGUGUAGCGGUGAAAUGCGCAGAUAUCAGGAGGAACACCGGUGGCGAAGGCGGGUCUCUGGGCCGUAACUGACGCUGAGACACGAAAGCGUGGGGAGCAAACAGGAUUAG
rnacentral:rRNA from 1 species